AUUACAUGAUAUGACUACAAGGAAGUGUUUUGGGCAUCAGUCUGUAAGGGGGAAAAUAGGAUGAAAUCUUAACUAUACACUCUGUGUAUGUCAGUAUAGGUGAACUAGCAAGCAGUAUUCUACAGAGAGGCAUAUCUGAGAUGUUGUUUCACACCACAUCUAAACUACAUUCAGGUCUGCAGGUCUGCUUGACCCAGAAGAGUUAAGGAAUGCUCUGUGAGACCCUAAUUGGUCAUCCCACUGACACAGAGA
rnacentral:lncRNA from 1 species